UCCAGACUCCUACGGGAGGCAGCAGUGAGGAAUAUUGGUCAAUGGCCGAGAGGCUGAACCAGCCAAGUCGCGUGAGGGAAGACGGCCCUACGGGUUGUAAACCUCUUUUGUCGGGGAGCAAAGCGAGUCACGUGUGACUCAUUGAGAGUACCCGAAGAAAAAGCAUCGGCUAACUCCGUGCCAGCAGCCGCGGUAAUACGGAGGAUGCGAGCGUUAUCCGGAUUUAUUGGGUUUAAAGGGUGCGCAGGCGGAGGUGCAAGUCAGCGGUCAAAUUGCGGGGCUCAACCCCGUACUGCCGUUGAAACUGGGGGCCUUGAGUGGGCGAGAAGAAGGCGGAAUGCGUGGUGUAGCGGUGAAAUGCAUAGAUAUCACGCAGAACCCCGAUUGCGAAGGCAGCCUUCCGGCGCCCUACUGACGCUGAGGCACGAAAGCGUGGGUAUCGAACAGGAUUAGAUACCCCAGUAU
rnacentral:rRNA from 1 species